rnacentral:rRNA from 1 species
UACGGGGGGAGCAAGCGUUGUUCGGAAUUACUGGGCGUAAAGCGCACGUAGGCGGCUUGUUAAGUCAGGGGUGAAAUCCUGGAGCUCAACUCCAGAACUGCCUUUGAUACUGGCGAGCUUGAGUUCGGGAGAGGUGAGUGGAACUGCGAGUGUAGAGGUGAAAUUCGUAGAUAUUCGCAAGAACACCAGUGGCGAAGGCGGCUCACUGGCCCGAUACUGACGCUGAGGUGCGAAAGCGUGGGGAGCAAACAGG